rnacentral:rRNA from 1 species
AUUGAACGCUGGCGGCAUGCCUUACACAUGCAAGUCGAACGGCAGCACGGGAGCAAUCCUGGUGGCGAGUGGCGAACGGGUGAGUAAAGUAUCGGAACGUACCUUUCAGUGGGGGAUAACGUAGCGAAAGUUACGCUAAUACCGCAUAUUCUGUGAGCAGGAAAGCAGGGGAUCGCAAGACCUUGCGCUGAUUGAGCGGCCGAUAUCAGAUUAGCUAGUUGGUGGGUAAAGGCCUACCAAGGCGACGAUCUGUAGCGGGUCUGAGAGGAUGAUCCGCCACACUGGAACUGAGACACGGUCCAGACUCCUACGGGAGGCAGCAGUGGGGAAUUUUGGACAAUUGGGGGGCAACCCUGAUCCAGCCAUGCCGCGUGAGUGAAGAAGGCCUUCGGUU